rnacentral:pre_miRNA from 1 species
AGCCUUCUGUAUCCGUGCUGAGAUUUCGUCACACACCAGACCACAAGGGCUGAUGAGACUCCCUAUCAUUAGUUCGGGUG